rnacentral:ncRNA from 1 species
GAUUAGAUACCGCCCUAGUUCUGACCGUAAACGAUGCCAUCUCGCGAUUCGGAGGGUUCAUGCCCUACCGAGGAGCUACCCGGAAACGAAAGUCUUUCGGUUCCGGGGGGUAGUAUAGGUUGCAAAGCUGAAACUUAAAGAAAUUGACGGAAGGGCACCACAAGGCGUGGAGCUUGCGGCUUAAUUUGACUCGAACACGGGAAAACUCACCCGGUCCGGACACUAUUAGGACUGACAGAUUGAAAGCUCUUUCUCGAUUUGGUGGUUGGUGGUGCAUGGCCGUUCUUAGUUGGUGGAGUGAUUUGUCUGGUUUAUUCCGAUAACGAGCGAGACUCUAGCCUGCUAAAUAGUCGACGAAUCUUCGGGUUCGUAUAACUUCUUAGAGGGAUAAGCGGUGUUUAGCCGCACGAGAUUGAGCGAUAACAGGUCUGUGAUGCCCUUAGAUGUCCGGGGCUGCACGCGUGCUACACUGGUGGAGUCAGCGGGUUUUUCCUAUGCCGAAAGGUAUCGGUAAACCGUUGAACUUCUUCCAUGUCCGGGAUAGGGUAUUGUAAUUAUUACCCUUAAACGAGGAAUGCCUAGUAAGUGUGAGUCAUCAGCUCACGUUGAUUACGUCCCUGCCCUUUGUACACACCGCCCGUCGCUAUCCGGGACUGAACUGAUUCGAGAAGAGUGGGGACUGUGGCUGCGAGGUUUUACCACUUCGCAGUUGCGGAAACCAUUUUUAUCGCAUUGGUUUGAACCGGGUAAAAGUCGUAACAAGGUAGCUGUAGGUGAACCUGCAGCUGGAUCAUCG